rnacentral:rRNA from 1 species
GACGAACGCUGGCGGCGUGCUUAACACAUGCAAGUCGAACGGUGAAGCGCCUUCCUUUUUGGUGGGUGUGGAUGAGUGGCGAACGGGUGAGUAACACGUGAGUAACCUGCCCCCUUCUUCUGGAUAACCGCAUGAAAGUGUGGCUAAUACGGGAUAUUCUGGGUCUGUCGCAUGAUGGGUCUGGGAAAGAUAUUGUUUCGGUGGGGGAUGGGCUCGCGGCCUAUCAGCUUGUUGGUGGGGUGAUGGCCUACCAAGGCGGUGACGGGUAGCCGGCCUGAGAGGGUGGACGGUCGCACUGGUACUGAGCCACGGUCGGGACUCCUACGGGCGGCAGCAGUGAGGAGUAUUGCACAAUGGGCGCAAGCCUGAUGCAGCGGCGCCGCGUGGGGGAUGGAGGCCUUCGGGUUGUGAACCUCUUUCGCCAGUGAAGCAGGCCUGCCUCGUUUGUGGGUGGGUUGACGGUAGCUGGAUAAGAAGCGCCGGCUAACUACGUG